GGGUAGGCAGCUUCUCCCAUCUCUAGAUCUCGGGUUCCCACUCCUCGCAGCUGCGUCGCUUCCGCCGCAGCCUCGAUGCCACCACCCCUCUCCCUAUUUCGCAUCCACUAGGUCUCGCCGUCGUAGCCGCCUACCCUAGCAGCAAAGUCCGUGGAGCCAACGACGGUGAGGCAGCCACGUCGGUGUCGUGGUCGUCAACGUCCUCCUCUACCCGGCUCGAUCCCUUCCCCUUCCACCUUUGCCUGCCCAAGCCUGGUCGAAUUCACUACUGAAGCUGGAGCGCAACCUCUGGAUCCUCAGCCCCUGGAUCUUGCUCUCACCACACCACCCCUGUGCCCCAACAAUGGUGGCUCGCACACAUUCUCAGAUGCAUUUUGGAAAGCAGGUGUCUUUCCAAAUUUCCUAAAAAUUUGCGUCACGGUGUCAAAAAAAAUUCAGAACAUCCUAACAAGCUGCAGCCGGAAAGGGUAGAUAAGUUUGGUCUUGAUGCUUUAAACGAGAAUGUUGAAGGUUAAAUGCAUAAUCCUGAUCAAGAGCAUAAUCAUGAGCAGUGAAUCAUGCUCAGUUAAGAAGGUUACUGAUUUCUAGGGCUACACUUAUGUUUCAUUAACGACAAAAAAUGUUGUUGAUUUCAUAAGCAGCAUCAGAAAGAACCAUGUUGUCAUUAUUUCAAGUUUAGAUUCUGCAAAGAGGAGGGUAAUUGAUGCAUCCAGGUAACUGAAAUUCUAGCUUCAGCAAUCUCAUUGUUGCUUGAAUAUUUAGGCGCUUUUACAAUUUCUCGCCUGCAUCAAUUAAUCUAUGAGCCUUAUCUUUACGUUUCACCAGAAGCUGGUAAAAAGGAUGCUGAGUUAACAUCUGGACAUAGUCUGAUAAGGAUGUCACUGUUCUUUCAAUGUUGAUGUAAUGAAAAUCCUUUGAUGAUAUAGAUGUGUAUUAUCUUUUGGAGCUGUACUAAAGUCUAUCGGACUACGUUGUUUUAUUAAAACUAAAUCUGGACAUAGCCAUAUGAGCUGCUGCCCUGUUUGGUGUUGCCAACACUACAUGUCGUGUUGAAUUUGUUUAGUACUCGAGACAAGUCUAUCGUUUUUAUUUGUUAAAGCCUAUUGGUAUAUAAUCAUUGUGACUUUCUUUGUCUAAUUUUGGUGCCACAUUAAACUAUUUAUCCUAUAUGGUGUAACAUAUGGUUUAAUUUAUUCCUCUGCGUGCAUGAGGU